AAAACCUUUUGCAUAUUCAAAUAGCGGAGGAAAAGAAACCAACCGGGAUUGCCUUAGUAACGGCGAGUGAAGCGGCAAAAGCUCAAAUUUGAAAUCUGGUACCUUCGGUGCCCGAGUUGUAAUUUGGAGAGGGCAACUUUGGGGCCGUUCCUUGUCUAUGUUCCUUGGAACAGGACGUCAUAGAGGGUGAGAAUCCCGUGUGGCGAGGAGUGCGGUUCUUUGUAAAGUGCCUUCGAAGAGUCGAGUUGUUUGGGAAUGCAGCUCUAAGUGGGUGGUAAAUUCCAUCUAAAGCUAAAUAUUGGCGAGAGACCGAUAGCGAACAAGUACAGUGAUGGAAAGAUGAAAAGAACUUUGAAAAGAGAGUGAAAAAGUACGUGAAAUUGUUGAAAGGGAAGGGCAUUUGAUCAGACAUGGUGUUUUGUGCCCUCUGCUCCUUGUGGGUAGGGGAAUCUCGCAUUUCACUGGGCCAGCAUCAGUUUUGGUGGCAGGAUAAAUCCAUAGGAAUGUAGCUUGCCUCGGUAAGUAUUAUAGCCUGUGGGAAUACUGCCAGCUGGGACUGAGGACUGCGACGUAAGUCAAGGAUGCUGGCAUAAUGGUUAUAUGCCGCCCGUCUUAAACCCCCGGACCAGG
rnacentral:rRNA from 1 species